rnacentral:rRNA from 1 species
ACAUCCAGAGAACUUUCCAGAGAUGGAUUGGUGCCUUCGGGAACUCUGAGACAGGUGCUGCAUGGCUGUCGUCAGCUCGUGUUGUGAAAUGUUGGGUUAAGUCCCGCAACGAGCGCAACCCUUAUCCUUUGUUGCCAGCGGUCCGGCCGGGAACUCAAAGGAGACUGCCAGUGAUAAACUGGAGGAAGGUGGGGAUGACGUCAAGUCAUCAUGGCCCUUACGAGUAGGGCUACACACGUGCUACAAUGGCGCAUACAAAGAGAAGCGACCUCGCGAGAGCAAGCGGACCUCAUAAAGUGCGUCGUAGUCCGGAUUGGAGUCUGCAACUCGACUCCAUGAAGUCGGAAUCGCUAGUAAUCGUAGAUCAGAAUGCUACGGUGAAUACGUUCCCGGGCCUUGUACACACCGCCCGUCACACCAUGGGAGUGGGUUGCAAAAGAAGUAGGUAGCUUAACCUUCGGGAGGGCGCUUACCACUUUGUGAUUCAUGACUGGGGUGAAGUCGUAACAAGGUAGGCGUAGACGU